GACGAACGCUGGCGGCGUGCUUAACACAUGCAAGUCGAACGGAAAGGCCCUGCUUUUGUGGGGUGCUCGAGUGGCGAACGGGUGAGUAACACGUGCGUAACCUGCCCUUGACUUUGGGAUAACUUCAGGAAACUGGGGCUAAUACCGGAUAGGAGCUCCUGCUGCAUGGUGGGGGUUGGAAAGUUUCGGCGGUUGGGGAUGGACUCGCGGCUUAUCAGCUUGUUGGUGGGGUAGUGGCUUACCAAGGCUUUGACGGGUAGCCGGCCUGAGAGGGUGACCGGCCAAAUUGGGACUGAGAUACGGACCAGACUCCUACGGGAGGCAGCAGUGGGGAAUAUUGCACAAGGGGCGGAAGCCUGAUGCAGCAACGCCGAGUGCGGGAUGACGGCCUUCGGGUUGUAAACCGCUUUCGCCUGUGACGAAGCGUGAGUGACGGUAAUGGGUAAAGAAGCACCGGCUAACUACGUG
rnacentral:rRNA from 1 species